rnacentral:tRNA from 1 species
UUUAAUAUGGCAGAAUUUUAGUGCAAAAGAUUUAAAAUCUUUAAAUAAAGAUAUAUUUAUCUUUUAUUAAAA